rnacentral:rRNA from 1 species
CGCGGCCUAUCAGCUUGUUGGUGAGGUAAUGGCUCACCAAGGCGACGACGGGUAGCCGGCCUGAGAGGGCGACCGGCCACACUGGGACUGAGACACGGCCCAGACUCCUACGGGAGGCAGCAGUGGGGAAUAUUGCACAAUGGGCGAAAGCCUGAUGCAGCAACGCCGCGUGAGGGAUGACGGUCUUCGGGUUGUAAACCUCUUUCAGCAGGGAAGAAGCGAAAGUGACGGUACCUGCAGAAGAAGCACCGGCUAACUACGUGCCAGCAGCCGCGGUAAUACGUAGGGUGCGAGCGUUGUCCGGAAUUAUUGGGCGUAAAGAGCUUGUAGGCGGUUUGUCGCGUCUGCUGUGAAAAUCCGGGGCUCAACCCCGGACUUGCAGUGGGUACGGGCAGACUAGAGUGUGGUAGGGGAGACUGGAAUUCCUGGUGCAGCGGUGAAAUGCGCAGAUAUCAGGAGGAACACCGAUGGCGAAGGCAGGUCUCUGGGCCACUACUGACGCUGAGAAGCGAAAGCAUGGGGAGCGAACAGGAUUGGAUACCCUGGUAGUCCAUGCCGUAAACGUUGGGCGCUAGGUGUGGGACUCAUUCCACGAGUUCCGUGCCGCAGCUAACGCAUUAAGCGCCCCGCCUGGGGAGUACGG